rnacentral:lncRNA from 10 species
CUGAUGCUAAGCUGAUAACAUUGGCAAGUCUGCUUUUGCAAAUAGUCUAUGGAAAUUAUGAGAGUAAAAAACACAAGCAAGGUUUCCUAAAUGAAGAAAAUCUAAAAUCCAUCGUACCUGUUACCAAACUGAAAAGUAAGGCACCUCACUGGACAAAUCGCAUACUUCAUGAAUACAAGAAUCUCAGUACAAGUGAAGGUGUCAGUAAAGAAAUGCAUCACCUUCAGCGCAUGUUCUUACAGAAUUGCUGGGAAAUUCCUACUUAUGGAGCAGCAUUUUUCACAGGACAGAUAUUUACAAAGGCAAGCCCCAGCAAUCAUAAAGUCAUCCCUGUGUAUGUAGGAGUGAAUAUAAAAGGACUUCAUCUCCUCAACAUGGAAACUAAGGCUUUACUCAUCAGUCUUAAGUAUGGUUGUUUUAUGUGGCAAUUGGGAGAUACUGAUACUUGUUUUCAGAUCCAUAGCAUGGAAAAUAAAAUGAGCUUUAUAGUACAUACAAAACAGGCUGGUCUCGUGGUAAAACUGUUAAUGAAGCUAAAUGGACAGUUAAUGCCCACUGAAAGAAAUUCAUGAAAGAGAAGUAACUGUUACUCAAGCCACCACAUUUUGUAAUGCAGAGUUUUUUUUCCGUGAAAGAUUUCUUAAAAUAUUACUUUUGGCCGAGCAUGGUGGCUCACCCCUGUAAUUCCAGCACUUUGGGAGGCUGGGGCAGGCGGAUCACCUGAAGUCAGAGUUCAAGACCAGCCUGGCCAACAUGGUGAAACCCUGUCUCUAC